rnacentral:misc_RNA from 1 species
CCCCCCCCCCCCCCCCCAAGCCAAAUAGUUUUUGUUGGUGAAUUAGAUUAUUACUUAGAAUAAAAUGAAAAGACUAAGUGACAACUUGAUUUUGAAUCUUCGUAUUUUUGCUCAUCAUAUUAUUAUGUUGCUUUCCAGUGAUCUAAAUAAUUGGGUGCUUGUUACUUCUUUUCAUUUAAAAAUUUUAGUAAUGUAGAAAGGUAUUUUUGGAAAUUUUGAAUUUCUUAAACGAUGGAUGUACAUGAUAUAUAUGACUUGAGAUUUACUUUUAAAGACCAGUGCUGCAGACACUUAAGUUUCUCUGUCAUAAAUAAUUGCUCUUGUCAUCCAACAAAUAGAGAAUUAAUUUUUCUUGCUCUCACUAUUUUUUCUUUUUUUUUCCUGAUUACAGGUAAAUAAAAGAGUUAGAUUCA